rnacentral:rRNA from 1 species
UUAAUAAUAUAUUUAUUUAUAUUUUUAUUAAUUAUUUAUUUUAUAGAAACAACUUUAUUUUUAGUAAUUUUUAUUGAAUUAAUUAUUUUUAUUAUAGUGUAUUAGUACUGUGAAGGAAUAUUUAUAUAUAUUUUAUUAAAGUAUACUUUUUUUGUAGUACCUUUUGUAUCAGGGUUUAUUAAUUUUUAAUUAAUUAUUAUUAAUUAUCCCGAAAUUAAAAGAGAUAUAAUAUUAUGAUAGUUUAUGUUUCAUAAUAAUUUUUAAUUUUAUUAUAGGAGUUAUAUGCUAUUCAAUUUUAAAUAUCUGGUUGUUUAAUAAAUUAAUUUAAUUAAUACUAAUUUUUGUUAUUUAUAUAAAUUUAUUUAUUUUAAUAGGAUUAGUUAAUAAUAUAGGGGAUAAGCUCUUUAUUAAUUCUAUAAUUUAUAUUUAUUAUUAAAUUUUUGUAGGUUUAGUAACGGCCAUCAUUUAUUUCGUUAUAGUUAAUUUUUUUUUUAUUUUUAUUUAUUUAUGAAUUUAGAUUUUUAUUAAACUUUAUUUAUUAAUUAUUUAUUUUUAGUAAUAAUGAUAGAAUUAGUAGUUUUGUAUAUUUAAGUAUAAGAAUUCGGCAAAUUUGAUCUUCGCCUGUUUAACAAAAACAUGUCCUGUAGAUUUUCAAUUAUAGGUCUGACCUGCCCAAUGAUUAAUUUUUAAUGGCCGCAGUAUUUUAACUGUGCAAAGGUAGCAUAAUCAUUUGUCUUUUAAUUGGAGGCUUGUAUGAAUGGUUUUACGAGGGAUCAACUUUUUUUAUUUAAAUAUUUAUUAAUUUAAUUUUUGAGUUAAAAAGCUUAAAUUUUUUUGCAAGACGAGAAGACCCUAUAGAAUUUUAUUUUAAUUAAUUUCUUAUUAUUUUAGUUUAUAAUUAUUUUAAGAAUUGGGUUAAAAUUUUGUUGGGGCGAUGUUGAGGAUUUUAUAACCCUCAAUUUUAAUUUUUCAUUUAUUUAUGUAUUUUUUGAUCCUAAUUUUUAGAUUACAAGAUUAAAUUACCUUAGGGAUAACAGCGUAAUUUUUCCGGAGAGUCCUUAUUAAUGGAUUAAGUUUGCGACCUCGAUGUUGGAUUAAAGAAAGUUUUUGGUGCAGAAGCUAAAACUCUAAGUCUGUUCGACUUUUAAAUCUUUACAUGAUCUGAGUUCAGACCGGCGUGAGCCAGGUUGGUUUCUAUCUGCAAAUUUGUUUUAUAUUUUAGUACGAAAGGACCAAGUGUAAAUAAUAAUUAUUUUAUAUUUUGAUGAUUAUUA